UACGUAGGGUGCGAGCGUUGUCCGGAAUUACUGGGCGUAAAGAGCUCGUAGGCGGCUUGGCAAGUCGGAUGUGAAAACUCCAGGCUCAACCUGGAGCCGCCAUUCGAUACUGCUAUGGCUAGAGUCCGGUAGGGGAGUGUGGAAUUCCCGGUGUAGCGGUGAAAUGCGCAGAUAUCGGGAGGAACACCGAUGGCGAAGGCAGCACUCUGGGCCGGUACUGACGCUGAGACGCGAAAGCGUGGGGAGCGAACAGG
rnacentral:rRNA from 1 species